GGGGGAGCGCGGCACUGGCGGGGCCGUGCCCGCGCUCACGGGCGGGCUCCGGCAGCUCCGGCACGGGCAGGAAAGAACCCCCGGCCGCCUUCACCCCCUCCUUUUCCCCUCCUUUUGCCCCUCGGUUGUACAGCCCAGGACGCGGCUGUCACCGCGCUGCGGUGGGAGAAGGACGAGUCCUCCUGGGGAUCCGCGGCGAGCAGCGGGGAUUUGGCUGUGCGGGCAUCUGCUCGCUGUCUGGCACCUUUGUUUCUCCUCCUCUAGGCAGUGGGGUUUUAUUGGCGCCCAAGUGUCGGUGGCACGGAUCCUUGCGGGCAGCCGGAGCAGGAAAGCGCAGCUGCCUGAACUGAUGCUGGACACAAGGAGUUCAUUGAUGGCUGGAGAGUGGGAAAGGCCUCAGUGAUGGAGUGGGGAAUGUUGGUAGCAAACAGGCUUUGGGCCGAGUGAGGACACUGAGCCAGGAGUCGGACUGGAUGAGCGCAGUUUUGUUACAGCUUGUUUUACACAGCCACCCGUGUCUGGUUUAAAUCUCUUGCACACGCAUCCAUUGGGGAGUUUUCCAUAGCCACAUAUGCCCGAUUCAAAAACUCUUGGACACGCACUGACUGGGGAAGACUACGGGAUUGGAAUGUUUUUAAUCAAAAGCACAUCAGUGUGAAAUAAAAGCUCCCUUUAACCAU